GAGCAUUUGAAAGACUCUGCCUGCUUACC
rnacentral:piRNA from 1 species